GGUUAAGGGUGUGAACCAUCACCAUCCUGUUUUUUUUUUUUAAAUCCAGCUUUAACUAUUGGAAAAAACAACAGUAAAAGUAGAAAAAAAUAGUAAAUGAUGGUUUCAUUUUUUCUUUUUGGCAGUACUGGUGAAGAAAUUGUCCCUGGUUUUGCCUUGUCACUUGUCACUUCCACUUCUCCAGUUAUGGGCUGUAACUGAGACAGGGGAUCCUGGUCUCAGGUUGUCAGCAGCCUGGGCCAGAUAGAAGGCAGACAUCUGAAAGCUGCGAUGUGGCAGGGGAGGCGGGUUGGUCAUUGCCACCUCCCGCAGCCAUUCUGAGCCUUUGCUGCCAUCUCUCUACAGGGUGACCUUAGACACUAACCUAUGUAGCCCAUUUUUUCCAUAACUUUAAUGGUUUUUUUGUUGUUUUGUUUUUGAGAUAGGGUCUCACUGUGUAAACCAGGCUGUCCUGAACUCUUUACAUAGACCAGACUGGCCUCGAACUCACAGAGAUCUUCUUCCUUGUGCCCACCGAGUGUUGAGGCCCAGGGUACACACCCCGUAUUUUUUCCCCCAAAUGCACAACUGAUUGUCUUCUGGAGAUAGCUAAAAUAAAAUCUGGUUUGUCAUAUAAUGGAGUAGUACACACCAGUGAACAAGAGACAGUGGAAGUACUGUUAUGGAAAGAACUUUAAGAUCGAUUGAGUGAAAGAAAUCAAGAUACACAUCAAUGUGUAACUGUUCUUAUUGCUUGAGAAAUGAAAGUGUCUUUCUAUUUGUAUAUGUUUUUAUGAAUAAAAGCCAGAUGAAGUCUCAGAAACUAACAGAAGUUGUCCUUGGGAUAAGAGUCAAGCGAGAAGAUGGGAGAACUUGGGAGCCGGAGAGAUGGCUCAGCAGUUAAAAACGCUUGCUGCUCUUCCAGGGUUCGGAAGUUCCAGGGACCAGAAUUUUCCCAGCACCUAAGUCAGGCUGCUCACAGCCACCUGUAACUGCCCCUUGGGGGAUCUGAAAUCUCAGGUCUCUGAGGGCAUCUGCGCUUGUGUGCACAUACACAUAGUUAAAAAUAAUUCAAAUCUUCAAAAGAUGAUGAAAAGAAAAAGAGGCUUUAAAACCAGCCAGUUGGGACAGGUAUGAUAUCACACACCUAUAGUCCCAGCUACCUGGGAAGCCGAGGCCAGAGGCUUGCCGAGCCCAGGUGCUUCGGUUCGUAUCUGUGUGGGCGUGUCUGCAUGUGACCCAGCUGUGACCAUGUUAAGAGCUCAAGUGUUGACACCUUGGUCCCAGCUGAGGCCUGUGGGGAUGGUUAGGAACCUUCAGCAGUGUGGCCUAAUAAAAGUUACAUCACUGGGUAACGCCCUUGAAAGAUAAGGACCCUGGGCCCUCUCCUCCCUCUCUGCUCCCAGCAGCCUCGAGGUAAACUCUCCUGCGCACACCUGUGUAACACGGUCCCACUGCAGGCCAGCAGCGACUGAAACGAGAUACGGACAGAAAUGGGAAAUAGCCCAGAAAGGAAGGAAAGCAAACUAUGAAGAUUUAUAGCAGAGCAUGGCAGAAGAAUGGAAAAAUCCACCUGAAACUGUCAGUUUAGAGAACCGCACUGUCUGUUCCUGUAGAAGCUCCAGAGAGACUGGCAGCAAGGACUACAUGCUGAGCCCAAACCAGAGAGGGGAAAGCUGCGCGUGGCCGGCCGCUCACAGCAAUCUCUUGUCCACCUUCCACUGCCACUGGACCAAAGCCCCUCCAAAGCCGACAUUUGACGUGUGCUCUCACCUGUUUGCAGUCCACGUUUGGUUGAAGAUAGAUGUGUCACUGAAGGCAUUGCAGAGGAUGAGGGAGUGUACUCUUGGAGACUUGUGAGUGUAUUCAGCAAAUUUCUGAGCCAAAAAACCUCCCAAAGACGCCCCAAACAGAUGGACCUAAUUAUAAACAAACAUAAGGCAGAUCCUAAAACACCGAGGUUGCUUCAGUUUUGUGAAUCACAGAAUAUGCCAUCACUACCUAGCAGGCUGAAAUAGUCGUUAGAAAUUUAACAGGCAUUUUAUUUGAAUUUAUGUACCCCAUUAAGAAAACAAUACACUGGAGCGUAAAAACAUGGCCCAGCCAGUGUUUGAAUCCCAACAGUCAUGUGACAAGUCGGUAUUCUGCAAAUACCUGUAGCGCCAGACCCUGCCUCAGAGGAACAGGUGGAGAGCGACAGUGGCCACUCAACACCCUAUCCUCUGCUGACCUCUGCGCGCGCAUCUAUGCACAUGAAUACAAGUAAGUCUUAAGCAAGCAAAGACUUCUAAACAACAACAAACUGGACAUGGUUGUGGGGAGCGGGGGCGAGUGGAUGUGUGUCACCGACACCAGCACAGACAUGUCAAUGGGAAUGGCAACGACUUCCCUUGGACCAAAUGUAAAUGCUGAUGAACAGCUGGCCUUCACCUAAAACCAGUGUGUGCAGACACCACCAACCACAGCUUUCUCCUGGAGGACUGCAACCUGAAGCUGCCCCCUCUCCCUCCUACUGAGAUUAGCAAAACCUGCCUCCUUGUUCAGUCGUACACAAUAAAUUCGCUGAGUUUUUGCUGGUGCAUCUCCAUCAGAGCACAUGGCCUACCCGA